AUUAAUUCUUUUCAAAUGACUUAUUAAUAUGGAUUAUUUGAAAAUGAUUAAAUGAUUUUAAAUAUAAGAAAGCAUGAUCUAUGAUGAUAUAAUUUGUCUAUGUGAUAUCCUAUGAUUUAUUUUUAAAUGACGGAAUAUUUAACUUGAUGGCGUGAGUAGAACGAGUUAUGAUUGAUGCGCAUGAUGAUGUUCAAAUAAACGGUUUCGAACCUAAAUGUUAGUUAUGUGAUAGAUGUUUUGAGUUUAAGGUUUUGAACGAGACAAGAUUAAUAUGGAUGUUAGAACCCUAAAAUCAUUAAAAAGGAGAUAGUUUAGUUUAGAGACCUAUCUUCCUUUCUUACACGACUUUCUUCUCGAACUUAUCGACUCUUCGUCAAUAAAGGUCCAGACGGGAAGUGAAAGCUAAAGAAGGAGGUAACUCUACGCCCCUAGUGGGAACGGAAUGAGGUUGAGCUGAUGUGAUGAUGGUGUUGCAAUGAACGGAGUCUCUAGGGUUGUUAAUAAAUAGUUAACCUGUCUAGAAUAUGUCUUCAUACAUAUGUCUAGCUACUUUCCGCUGCAAGAUGUUGUUGAUGUUAUAGUAUGUUAUGUCAUACUUUGAGUCUUAAGAGAAUGGUUUCAUAUGAUGUAUAACUUGAUUAAUGAUAUUAAUUAAGUUUUAUGUUGUCUUUCA